rnacentral:rRNA from 1 species
AGAGUUUGAUUCUGGCUCAGAACGAACGCUGGCAGCGUGGAUUAGGCAUGCAAGUCGAACGGGAAGCCUCUUUUUCAACCUUCGGGGAGAAAUCGAGGUGGAGAGUGGCGAAAGGGUGAGUAACGCGUGGAUAAGCUACCCCUAAGUUGGGGACAACAUCGGGAAACCGGUGCUAAUACCGAAUGUGGUACUGUGUCGCAUGGCACGGCUACUAAAGGUGGGGACCUUCGGGCCUGCCGCUUGGGGAGGCAUCCGCGUGCCAUCAGCUUGUUGGUAGGGUAAUGGCCUACCAAGGCUUACGGCUAGCUGGUCUGAGAGGAUGAUCAGCCACACUGGGACUGAGACACUGCCCAGACUCCUACGGGAGGCUGCAGUCGAGGAUCAUUCGCAAUGCGCGAAAGCGUGACGAUGCGACGCUGCGUGGAGGAUGACGGCCUUCGGGUUGUAAACUCCUGUCAUGAAGGAAAAGACGCUCUGUUCUUAAUACGAACGGAGCCCGAUGGUACUUCAAGAGGAAGCCACGGCUAACUCUGUGCCAGCAGCCGCGGUAAUACAGAGGUGGCGAGCGUUGUUCGGAUUUACUGGGCGUAAAGCGUACGUAGGCGGCUCGGUAUGUCGGAUGCGAAAGCCCGGGGCCCAACCCCGGAAGUGCAUCCGAAACUGCCGAGCUAGAGUACAGGAGGGGAGAGCGGAAUUCAUGGUGUAGCGGUGAAAUGCGUUGAUAUCAUGAAGAACACCGGUGGCGAAGGCGGCUCUCUGGAAUGUAACUGACGCUGAGGUACGAAAGCGUGGGUAGCAAACAGGAUUAGAUACCCUGGUAGUCCACGCCGUAAACGGUGCGCACUUGGUGUGGGAGGUAUUGACCCCUCCCGUGCCGGAGCUAACGUGUUAAGUGCGCCGCCUGGGAAGUACGGUCGCAAGAUUAAAACUCAAAGAAAUUGACGGGGCCCCGCACAAGCGGAGGAGCAUGUGGCUUAAUUCGAUGCAACGCGAAGAACCUUACCUGGGCUUGACAUGUAACUGCACGCCUCCUGAAAGGGAGGAAGCCUUCGAGGGUGUUACACAGGUGCUGCAUGGCUGUCGUCAGUUCGUGCCGUGAGGUGUUGGGUUAAGUCCCGCAACGAACGCAUCCCCUGUGUUUAGUUGCCAGCAGGUAAAGCUGGGCACUCUAAACAGACUGCCCGUACAAGCGGGAGGAAGGUGGGGACGACGUCAAGUCAGC